AGUAAUGCUUAGGAAUCUGCCUAUUAGUGGGGGACAACAUCUCGAAAGGGAUGCUAAUACCGCAUACGUCCUACGGGAGAAAGCAGGGGAUCUUCGGACCUUGCGCUAAUAGAUGAGCCUAAGUCGGAUUAGCUAGUUGGUGGGGUAAAGGCCUACCAAGGCGACGAUCUGUAGCGGGUCUGAGAGGAUGAUCCGCCACACUGGGACUGAGACACGGCCCAGACUCCUACGGGAGGCAGCAGUGGGGAAUAUUGGACAAUGGGGGGAACCCUGAUCCAGCCAUGCCGCGUGUGUGAAGAAGGCCUUAUGGUUGUAAAGCACUUUAAGCGAGGA
rnacentral:rRNA from 1 species